GUAAUUAUCAAAAUAUAAACGCGGUCUCUUUCUCUCUGAAACCCCUCCCAAGAAAACAUCUUUAGAUUUAUUUUUUACCCAAAUGCAACCAUAAACAACCUUGAAAAGAUCAAGUUUGUUUAUAGAUUUCUAUGACAAGAGGCUGGUGUUGGCGUGACUGAAGCUCAUGAAUGCAUAAAUAAAGGCAUAGUUCAAUUUUUUCAAGUCAAAUUCUUCCUUAUUUUUCCCAUGUUGUCUCUCUUCUUUUUCAUUUGUUUAUCAGGCCAAAUAUCUAUUUUAUGCUGAGCAGUUGUUCUGGAAACCUUGUUAAUUUCCAAGCAGCCAUAUCGUUUGAUAAAACCUUGAGGACCACGUGUCAACAGCUACGUUAUCACUGUGUAAGGGAAUGGUCAUUCAGUUCAGAAAUGGAUGUCAAUGUUGCAGGUUCUCAUUCCAGUGAGAAGCAAUCUUUAGAGUGUCCAAAAUCCACCAAUAUGGCGAAGAAGUCCGUAGAAAAAGAAGUGAGCAUGAACACUUCUGUUUUUGUCAAUCAUGCUGCAAUAGCUUGGCAUGAGAAUAGAAGAAAGUGGGUAGGAAAUCAAUCUCGACAAUCAAAAACAGUGGCAAAGGAUCCAAUCAUAAGGUGGUAUAAUUUACAUUCACUUCUAUUGUACAAUGAUGUUCUUUUUUAAAAAAGAAAAGUAGAAA